ACCCCGGGCUCGCUGUAAUUCAGGAACCACACCCCCAGCCACCCCGCCCACCCCGUGGCCGCCUGGUAAAGGGAGUCUCUGGCUCCUGUGGUUUGUGGAGGCAAGGGGUGGAGCCUCACCUCGGCAGAGGAGUAGCCAGAGGAAGAGUAUCUGGACAUGUCGAAAUCAUCAUCGCUGGCCGUGAGGAGAGAGGAGAGAGAAGGGGCUGCCCAUGCUGCCGUUCUUCAGGGAACCCUUCCGGGCCAGCUCCCUUUGCUUCUCUGCAAAGAGCAUGGGAAAGAAGCUGUGUCCUGCCCCAGUGGCCGCCAGGCACCUGACGCAUGACUGAGGCGGACAGUGGCAGCCCAGGAGAGGAGGCUGACCCUACCCUGUGGGAACCACAGUUCCUGUGUUGGGCAGCCGGCCUGUGCUUGAUGUCAAGGAAUGGCUAGAGAGGAAGAGAUGAACACAGAAGGCUGAAGCAGUCAGAGAGGCCUUCCCGGAAGAAGGACAUUAAGAAGGAAAGUAAGUACAAAAGCACUCAAGAGGACAUAGCUACAGAUGUGAAUGGAACGGAGCGAGAAGAGGCUCUAGGCAAACAACUGGCCAAUCUAAGCAAGGCCUCAAGACUAAAAUGAAGGGGAAAAAAGUCAAAUGAGCACUUCUGAAGUUCCCAGAUGAGCUCUAAGCAGUGCCUCCCGAUGGAUGGGAACGGUGGCUGAGAAGACGGACCUGACAAACCAGCAGGACAAGGUGACAGGUGAUGCGGGUGACAAGGAGGGUAGGCAGGCUUUCAUUCCACGUGAGCAAUCUUUGCACUCUCCCCUGCACUAUCUCUCAGUAGCCUCCAGCUCUGGGCCAGACCCUGUGCUUCCCAGAGUCCUUAGCUAGCCCUGCUAUCUCUCCAAAUGCCCUCGAUGUAUGAGAUCCAGGGCCCCUGUCUAUGCCAUCGGUAAGGAGCAUCUCCUUUUUUAUGGGGAGACAAAAGAUUUUAUUCAGGUUAAGCACCACUUGCAUCUACAUUUGAGACCAGUUUACAAUCAUUUUUCUAUUAUAGGCAGGCAUAUGAGCUUAGUUGCAAUCCUUUUUCUGGCAUAAAAAAGAUAUUUUCAGUAUUUUUCAUAGUUGUCAGAUUCACAAUUAUAAAGGGAGCUAAAGAUGAGCUUCUCUUAGAAUGAACAACUCUUAUUUUACAAUGUUUUUAUACUCAGGCCAGCAGAGUUGGUUUAGUAAUUAAUAGUACUUGUUCUUGCAGAAGACCUAGGUUCAAUUCCUAGUACCCACAGGAGGUUCAGAGCCUUCUGAUCCAAGGACGUCUGAUGUCUGUGGCACCAGGCACACAUGUGGUGCAUAUACAUGCAUACAGACAAAAUACACAUACAAGUAAAAGAAAAUUUGAAAAGUUUUUAUUCUUCUCGAAUUUCAUACAGAGUGUUUUGAUCCUAUUCAUCCCUACUCCUCCCCUAACUCCUCCCAGGCCCUCCCNNNNNNNNNN
ensembl:processed_transcript